rnacentral:lncRNA from 1 species
CAUGAGUUGAGUACUGAAAAGAUGCAAGCAAUUCUGAAGAGUAAAUAUGUGGUAUAUUUCAUUGCACAUUGAAAGGCUGACAAAGUAAAUUAAACAUGGCAGAUUCUGCCAUUUCCAUUUGGAUGGAAUUUCAAUGAAUGUGGUAUCUUCAUCAGAGUAAUUAUCUGCGUUGUUUUCCUUUCACAUGGACUGGAAGCUGCUGGUGUCACAAUUUGAGACCAAGAUCUGUAGGUCAUUCCUUCACAUGUCUUUAAUAUCUUCUUUUAUUUUUGUUAGCUUUUUAACCUCCUGGAGGCUCAUUGGGAUAUGAUACUGCUGAGGUGCAGAAAUCUUUUCUGCCAAGUCCCUACAUUUAGGAAAGUGAUGGCAGAAAUACAAGUUUAAGCAGUUGGUGACUGACAUAACAAAUAAAGAAAAUGUCAUGGAAGCUUUGAGAAAGCCAAAGGUGUAUGAAAGCUCUGCAGCAGAGGCUCUCCACCUAGCAGUGAGUGGUGUUCCUGCAGGACCAGCUGGCGCAGAGAAGACAGAGACCAUGGAAGAUUUGGGCUCUGCCCUUGGUAUGAUGGUG